ACCAAAUGAUGAGGAACCAGAUAGGGACAACAGACUUCGUUUGAAUGACGAGGAAAGUCUUUUAUAGCCCAGUUUUUAGUAGAGCUUGGGCGCCUUUGCCUGAUU
rfam:Lachancea dasiensis CBS 10888 genome assembly, chromosome: G